GGGCUCAUAGCUCAGUUGGCUAGAGCGCCUGCAUGGCAUGCAGGAGGUCGCGGGUCCGAGUCCCGCUGAGUCCACAA
rnacentral:tRNA from 1 species